rnacentral:rRNA from 1 species
GACGAACGCUGGCGGCGUGCCUAAUACAUGCAAGUCGAGCGGACUGAUUAAGAGCUUGCUCUUAUGACGUUAGCGGCGGACGGGUGAGUAACACGUGGGCAACCUGCCCUGUAGAUCGGGAUAACACCGAGAAAUCGGUGCUAAUACCGGGUAAUAUCUGAGAUCACAUGAUCUUAGGUUAAAAGAUGGCUCCGGCUAUCACUACAGGAUGGGCCCGCGGCGCAUUAGCUAGUUGGUAAGGUAAUGGCUUACCAAGGCGACGAUGCGUAGCCGACCUGAGAGGGUGAUCGGCCACACUGGGACUGAGACACGGCCCAGACUCCUACGGGAGGCAGCAAUAGGGAAUCUUCCGCAAUGGACGAAAGUCUGACGGAGCAACGCCGCGUGAGUGAUGAAGGGUUUCGGCUCGUAAAGCUCUGUUGUUAGGGAAGAAACAGUACCGAACGAACUAGGUCGGUACCUUGACGGUACCUAACCAGAAAGCCACGGCUAACUACGUG